UAGAAAAUAGUGUAGUGGAAACACUGAGAGUCUUGAUCUCUCCAAGAGGGGUUCAAGUCCUCUUUUUCUAA
rnacentral:tRNA from 2 species